UACGAGUGCUCCAAGCGUUAUCCGGAAUCAUUGGGCGUAAAGGGUGUGUAGGUGGUUGUGUUAGUCUUGUGUUAAAUUCUUCGGCUUAACCGGGGACAUGCAUGGGAAACGGCACAACUAGAGGAUGCGAGAGGAACAUGGAACUCAUGGAGUAGGGGUGAAAUCCGUUGAUAUCAUGGGGAACAUCGAAAGCGAAGGCAAUGUUCUGGCGCACUCCUGACACUGAGACACGAAAGCGUAGGUAGCGAAUGGG
rnacentral:rRNA from 1 species